GUGUGGACAGCCUACACCAAGGGAAGAGUCAGGGGAGAAGGAACACAAGACUCCGGAAGCAUGCCAGCGUAUAAAACCACACUUUGCCUCAUUGGUUCGUGCCUCAGCUUCCAAUCUGGACAUGGAGCACAAUAACAGUGGGCCCACUGCUCUCCGAAUUCCUGCGCGCACUUGAAGGGAGUGUCUGGUGCAGGCAUGCAGGGAGGAAGAAUGACUCUGAGCUUGACCAUUCAACUUCGAAACUUUAACAUCAAUGGAUCAGCACACACUGGUGUACGGUCUGCUAUGCAUGCAGCCCUGUGCUAGGCAAAAGAAGUAUCAGACCAGGAACUGACAGCCUCACUGCAACAGGAAGAGAGGCUUCACACAAUAAGCGUUUCAUUCAACCAGGCUGGACCUGUGCUUAUUGAGUUGAACAUCACUGAGCACAAAAUGCAAGCCAGACACCAUAAGAGCUGUAAGGAUGAUAAAGAUGUCUUUCUACCCUCGAGAGCUCUAAGUGUGGUCAGGAGAGAAACACAUGCAAAGAUUAUGCUGGCUGGAAGGAAAUGCUGGAAUGAAGGUGGAAGGUACAUCCAGAAUGUUCUGGGGGUGAGGAAUAGCGAAUGAUGGGUUCUGACUUAGAACAUGAAGGGAAGGUAUUAAGAAAGAGGUGAUAUUAAGCAUUUAUUGAGCAUCUCUACUUUUUUUGUGUAUGUGACCUUGUUUGGAAAUACAAUAUCUCUUCUUGAUGCUGGCAAAAAAAAAAAAAAAAAA
rnacentral:lncRNA from 1 species